rnacentral:rRNA from 1 species
UACAGAGGCCUCGAGCGUUAGGCGGAAUCACUGGGCUUAAAGCGCGUGUAGGCGGACCGUUAAGUGCCUUGUGAAAUCCCACGGCUCAACCGUGGAACCGCUGGGCAUACUGGCGGUCUUGGGCCACUCAGGGGCAACCGGAACAAGCGGUGGAGCGGUGAAAUGCGUAGAUAUCGCUUGGAACGCCAAAGGUGAAGGACAGGUUGCUGGGGGUGUGCCGAC